rnacentral:rRNA from 1 species
AGGACGAACGCUGGCGGCGUGCUUAACACAUGCAAGUCGAGCGAGAACCGGUCCUUCGGGACUGGGGAAAGCGGCGAACGGGUGAGUAACACGUGGGUAAUCAACCCUUGGUACCGGGAUAGCCCGAGGAAACUCGGAUUAAUACCGGAUGGCCCAACAGCUCUUCGGGGCGGUUGGAAAAGGUAGCUUCGGCCUCCGACCAAGGACGAGCCCGCGGCGGAUUAGCUUGUUGGCGGGGUAAUGGCCCACCAAGGCGACGAUCCGUAGCUGGUCUGAGAGGACGAUCAGCCACACUGGGACUGAGACACGGCCCAGACUCCUACGGGAGGCAGCAGUGGGGAAUCUUGCACAAUGGGCGAAAGCCUGACCCAGCCACGCCGCGUGAGUGAUGAAGGCCUUCGGGUCGUAAAGCUCUGUGGGGAGGGACGAAUAAGUCGGCAGUUAAUAACUGCCGGCCUGACGGUACCUCCUUAGCAAGCACCGGCUAACCAUGUGCCAGCAGCCGC